GCCGACCCCCACAAUCCCAAGUGCCCCGGACACUUCCUGUGCCUUUAACGCACCUGCUCCUUUCCAAGCAGUGCAGAGAACAACUGAAGAGAAAGAGGAAUGCGGGCAGGGGGCCAUCCAGGGCCGGAUGCCAGGGGAUGCGCAAGGCCGAGCUCGUGCCCUUGACUGGCCAAGUCCCUCCAGGUUUCCUGAUGGCCUGUCCACUACAGCAGAGAGCCAGCCCGCCUCCAGCUCCUGACCGUCCCCAUAUCUCAGAGAAGAAACCCAGCCCGAGCUUGGUUCCUGUCCCCUCAUUUCGGCGUGUGCCCCGACCCCCAGCCUGCCCCAUGCAGCUCCCAAGGUCACGUGCUGCGGAAACUGUCUGCAAGGUAGUAUCUUCCUGCAGAUACCCAAGCGGUCACCCUUGUCCCUGCCUCAUCCUUAUCACCGCCACCCCAGUCAGAGGAGGCAAUGCCAAC